rnacentral:rRNA from 1 species
AUUGAACGCUGGCGGCAGGCUUAGCACAUGCAAGUCGAGCGGGGACUUCGGUCCUAGCGGCGAACGGGUGAGGAAUGCUUGGGAAUCUGCCCAGUAGCGGGGGAUAACGUUUCGAAAGGAACGCUAAUACCGCAUACGCCCUACGGGGGAAAGGGGGGGAUCUUCGGACCUCUCACUAUUGGAUGAGCCCAAGUCGGAUUAGCUAGUUGGUGGGGUAAAGGCCUACCAAGGCGACGAUCCGUAGCUGGUCUGAGAGGAUGAUCAGCCACACUGGAACUGGGACACGGUCCAGACUCCUACGGGAGGCAGCAGUGGGGAAUAUUGGACAAUGGGCGAAAGCCUGAUCCAGCCAUGCCGCGUGUGUGAAGAAGGCCUUCGGGUUGUAAAGCACUUUAAGCGAGGAGGAAUGGCUGAGGGUUAAUAACCUUCAGCAGUGACGUUACUCGCAGAAUAAGCACCGGCUAACUCUGUGCCAGCCGCCGCCGUAAGAC